AUGCUAAAAAACAGUAUUCUCACAAAAGAUAACCUAGCCAAGAGAGGAUGGACCGGGAACCUACAAUGUCACUUUUGUGGGAAUGAAACAGUUGAUCAUUGGUUGUUCAAGUGGUCUUUAGCAAAACUAGUUUGGCAAGUGGUGAUAUGUGCUCUUGGCCUCGUCAGACCUUCUGAGGGGGUUUAUGAUUUCUUUGGAUCUUUGUUAAACUCCUUCUCUAGGGACCAACACAAUCCGGUGCUAAGUGGAGGGGCUGCAAUUCGGUGGACUAUUUGGAAAAUGAGGAAUGAUGUUUGCUUUCAUAGGAAGUUCCCAAAUGAUCCUUCUGCAAUGAUAUUCAGGUUGUGCAACAUCCUAGUCUCACAGGCAAUUUUGCAGAAAAGCCAAGAUUGAGGAAGUGUUGAAGAUGGAGUGGAGAUGAUCAAGACGGUGAUUGGAGGAGCAUACACUAGUAGAAAAGGGGGCAUUUGUCCCGGUUCAUAA
rnacentral:rRNA from 1 species